rnacentral:rRNA from 1 species
CAUGCAGUCGACGGUAACAGGAAGCAGCUUGCUGCUUCGCUGACGAGUGGCGGACGGGUGAGUAAUGUCUGGGAAACUGCCUGAUGGAGGGGGAUAACUACUGGAAACGGUAGCUAAUACCGCAUAACGUCGCAAGACCAAAGAGGGGGACCUUCGGGCCUCUUGCCAUCGGAUGUGCCCAGAUGGGAUUAGCUAGUAGGUGGGGUAACGGCUCACCUAGGCGACGAUCCCUAGCUGGUCUGAGAGGAUGACCAGCCACACUGGAACUGAGACACGGUCCAGACUCCUACGGGAGGCAGCAGUGGGGAAUAUUGCACAAUGGGCGCAAGCCUGAUGCAGCCAUGCCGCGUGUAUGAAGAAGGCCUUCGGGUUGUAAAGUACUUUCAGCGGGGAGGAAGGGAGUAAAGUUAAUACCUUUGCUCAUUGACGUUACCCGCAGAAGAAGCACCGGCUAACUCCGUGCCAGCAGCCGCGGUAAUACGGAGGGUGCAAGCGUUAAUCGGAAUUACUGGGCGUAAAGCGCACGCAGGCGGUUUGUUAAGUCAGAUGUGAAAUCCCCGGGCUCAACCUGGGAACUGCAUCUGAUACUGGCAAGCUUGAGUCUCGUAGAGGGGGGUAGAAUUCCAGGUGUAGCGGUGAAAUGCGUAGAGAUCUGGAGGAAUACCGGUGGCGA